AGAGUUUGAUCCUGGCUCAGAGUGAACGCUGGCGGCAGGCCUAACACACGCAAGUCGAACGGCAGCACAGCAGUAGCAAUACUGUGGGUGGCGAGUGGCGGACGGGUGAGGAAUGCGUCGGAAUCUGCCUAUUUGUGGGGGAUAACGUAGGGAAACUUACGCUAAUACCGCAUACGACCUACGGGUGAAAGUGGGGGACCUUCGGGCCUCACGCAGAUAGAUGAGCCGACGCCGGAUUAGCUAGUUGGCGGGGUAAAGGCCCACCAAGGCGACGAUCCGUAGCUGGUCUGAGAGGAUGAUCAGCCACACUGGGACUGAGACACGGCCCAGACUCCUACGGGAGGCAGCAGUGGGGAAUAUUGGACAAUGGGCGCAAGCCUGAUCCAGCCAUGCCGCGUGUGUGAAGAAGGCCUUCGGGUUGUAAAGCACUUUUGUCCGGAAAGAAAUCCUUUCGAUUAAUACUCGGGAGGGAUGACGGUACCGG
rnacentral:rRNA from 1 species